GUACACUCCUACGGGAGGCAGCAGUGGGGAAUUUUGGACAAUGGGCGAAAGCCUGAUCCAGCAAUGCCGCGUGAGUGAAGAAGGCCUUCGGGUUGUAAAGCUCUUUUGUCAGGGAAGAAACGGUGAAAGCUAAUAUCUUUUGCUAAUGACGGUACCUGAAGAAUAAGCACCGGCUAACUACGUGCCAGCAGCCGCGGUAAUACGUAGGGUGCAAGCGUUAAUCGGAAUUACUGGGCGUAAAGCGUGCGCAGGCGGUUUUGUAAGUCUGAUGUGAAAUCCCCGGGCUCAGCCUGGGAAUUGCAUUGGAGACUGCAAGGCUAGAAUCUGGCAGAGGGGGGUAGAAUUCCACGUGUAGCAGUGAAAUGCGUAGAUAUGUGGAGGAACACCGAUGGCGAAGGCAGCCCCCUGGGUCAAGAUUGACGCUCAUGCACGAAAGCGUGGGGAGCAAACAGGAUUAGAAACCCGAGUAGUCCC
rnacentral:rRNA from 1 species